rnacentral:tRNA from 1 species
GAGGGUACAGCUCAAGUGGUAGAGCGCAUGCUUAGCAUGUAUGAGGUCCUGGGUUCAAUUUCCAAUACCUCCU